rnacentral:rRNA from 1 species
GUGAGGAAUAUUGGGCAAUGGGCGCAAGCCUGACCCAGCCAUGCCGCGUGCAGGAAGACGGUCCUAUGGAUUGUAAACUGCUUUUAUACGGGAAGAAACACUCCCUCGUGAGGGAGCUUGACGGUACCGUAAGAAUAAGGAUCGGCUAACUCCGUGCCAGCAGCCGCGGUAAUACGGAGGAUCCAAGCGUUAUCCGGAAUCAUUGGGUUUAAAGGGUCCGUAGGCGGCCUUAUAAGUCAGUGGUGAAAUCCCAUCGCUCAACGAUGGAACGGCCAUUGAUACUGUUAGACUUGAAUUACAAGGAAGUAACUAGAAUAUGUAGUGUAGCGGUGAAAUGCUUAGAUAUUACAUGGAAUACCAAUUGCGAAGGCAGGUUACUACUUGUGGAUUGACGCUGAUGGACGAAAGCGUGGGGAGCGAACAGGAUUAGAUACCCCGGUAGUCC